rnacentral:ribozyme from 1 species
UGCCCAGCAACUCCAAUCCCUACCUCCACGCGGUACCGGCCGGAAACUAUGAGCAACCUUAGGGAAGAUCGGGUAGCCAACCCCGGUGGGAAUUUUGAUCGUAGGCUGACAGGGAAGG